rnacentral:rRNA from 1 species
GAGAAGCUUGCUUUUCCUGCCGGCGAGUGGCGAACGGGUGAGUAAUACAUCGGAACGUGCCCUGUAGUGGGGGAUAACUAGUCGAAAGAUUAGCUAAUACCGCAUACGACCUGAGGGUGAAAGUGGGGGACCGCAAGGCCUCAUGCUAUAGGAGCGGCCGAUGUCUGAUUAGCUAGUUGGUGGGGUAAAGGCCUACCAAGGCGACGAUCAGUAGCUGGUCUGAGAGGACGAUCAGCCACACUGGGACUGAGACACGGCCCAGACUCCUACGGGAGGCAGCAGUGGGGAAUUUUGGACAAUGGGCGAAAGCCUGAUCCAGCAGUGCCGCGUGUGUGAAGAAGGCCUUCGGGUUGUAAAGCACUUUUGUCCGGAAAGAAAUGGCUCUGGUUAAUACCUGGGGUCGAUGACGGUACCGGAAGAAUAAGGACCGGCUAACUACGUGCCAGCAGCCGCGGUAAUACGUAGGGUCCAAGCGUUAAUCGGAAUUACUGGGCGUAAAGCGUGCGCAGGCGGUUGUGCAAGACCGAUGUGAAAUCCCCGAGCUUAACUUGGGAAUUGCAUUGGUGACUGCACGGCUAGAGUGUGUCAGAGGGGGGUAGAAUUCCACGUGUAGCAGUGAAAUGCGUAGAGAUGUGGAGGAAUACCGAUGGCGAAGGCAGCCCCCUGGGAUAACACUGACGCUCAUGCACGAAAGCGUGGGGAGCAAACAGGAUUAGAUACCCUGGUAGUCCACGCCCUAAACGAUGUCAACUAGUUGUUGGGGAUUCAUUUCCUUAGUAACGUAGCUAACGCGUGAAGUUGACCGCCUGGGGAGUACGGUCGCAAGAUUAAAACUCAAAGGAAUUGACGGGGACCCGCACAAGCGGUGGAUGAUGUGGAUUAAUUCGAUGCAACGCGAAAAACCUUACCUACCCUUGACAUGCCUCU